GCAGUCUGCAACUCGACUGCAUGAAGCUGGAAUCGCUAGUAAUCGCGAAUCAGAAUGUCGCGGUGAAUACGUUCCCGGGCCUUGUACACACCGCCCGUCACACCAUGGGAGUUGGAAGCACCCGAAGUCGGUGACCUGACCGUAAGGAGGGAGCCGCCGAAGGUGAAGCCAGCGACUGGGGUGAAGUCGUAACAAGGUACC
rnacentral:rRNA from 1 species